GACGAGGGGUCCUAGCGUUGUUCGGAAUUACUGGGCGUAAAGCGCAUGUAGGCGGCUUUGUAAGUCAGGUGUGAAAUCUCUGGGCUCAACCCAGAGCGUGCAUUUGAUACUGCUAAGCUUGAGUAUGGGAGAGGGUAGUAGAAUUCCUGGUGUAGUGGUGAAAUGCGCAGAUAUCAGGAGGAACACCGAUGGCGAAGGCAGGUCUCUGGGCCACUACUGACGCUGAGA
rnacentral:rRNA from 1 species